GAAAAUCUCCACCUUUUGAAAUGUCUCACUUGAUCGAAAUUGGUAUAAACCUUUCAAUUUAAGCACAUACAAUCUGAAAAUUUACAUCCAUUAGAACAUCAUUGCGAGGUUCAGCCUCAGAAGGAAGAUGAUCAUGCAAAGACCAUCGAACCAAGGGAACAUCUAAAUUACAGAGUACAUGCAAAAUAGUAGCUAGUACAGAUGCUAACGCGAAACAACUGUAAAGGAGACAUGGAGAUCCAGCAGCAAAUUUCUGAUUUGUUCUUAAUUAGCCAGGGCCAACUUUGGGAAUGUCAUAGUGCUCACUCAUGUUUGCCAAGUACUGAUUGAAAUCUUCAAUUCGGUCACGAUGUGAUUUAUUAGCAGUCUUGGCCAUCUUAUGCAUGUCGAUCCUCUCUCUCUGUUCUAUGUAGCGCCUCUCUGCAGGGGUUAGAUUAUCAUCCCAGCGACCGGCAUUUUCUUCACCAACAGAUUUAGUUGCAUCUGUGGUCUCUUCCUUGGUGGAAUUAUCUAUGGAUCCACUACCCCCAUCAAUCGAAAGCUCGUUUUCUGUAACCUGGGAGAUUUGAUCAUAAUCCUUCUUUUCCUUCUUUUUCUUUUUCUUUAUUCCAGCGGCUUUUACAUCCAAUGCCUUCCCCUUUAGUUUCAACUUCCCGCCAACCACAUUAUCAUAUGCAGACAUUUUCUAAAGAGACAAUCAGAUCUGAUGAAACAAAAUACCAUAGAAUAUAAAAAAAUUAUGUAUUUAUUGUUAGUAUUUUCUACAUUUAGUUUUUU
rnacentral:misc_RNA from 1 species